rnacentral:tRNA from 1 species
GGGCCCGUAGCUUAGCCUGGCUGGAGCGCCGGCUGAUAACCGGGAGGUCAUGAGUCCAAAUCUCAUCGGGCCCA